rnacentral:rRNA from 1 species
CCCUUAGAUGUCCUGGGCCGCACGCGCGUUACACUGAUGCAUUCAACGAGCUUAUAACCUUGGCCGAGAGGCCUGGGCAAUCUUGUUAACGUGCAUCGUGAUAGGGAUAGAUUAUUGAAAUUAUUAAUCUUGAACGAGGAAUUCCUAGUAAACGCAGAUCAUCAAUCUGCAUUGAUUACGUCCCUGCCCUUUGUACACACCGCCCGUCGCACCUACCGAUUGGAUGGUCCGGUGAAGCCUCGGGAUUGCGGUUCUUGCCGCUUUAUUGUGGCGUGACCGCGAGAACUUGUCUAAACCUUAUCAUCUAGAGGAAGGUGAAGUCGUAACA